UACGAAGGGGGCUAGCGUUGCUCGGAAUCACUGGGCGUAAAGGGUGCGUAGGCGGGUCUUAAGUCAGAGGUGAAAUCCUGGAGCUCAACUCCAGAACUGCCUUCGAUACUGGCGAUCUUGAGUCCGGAAGAGGUGAGUGGAACUCCUAGUGUAGAGGUGGAAUUCGUAGAUAUUAGGAAGAACACCAGUGGCGAAGGCGGCUCACUGGACCAUAACUGACGCUGAGGCACGAAGGCUAGGGGAGCAAACGGG
rnacentral:rRNA from 1 species